UUAUAUGAAUAAUGCCAUUUGCAGC
rnacentral:piRNA from 1 species